AUUGAACGCUGGCGGCAUGCCUUACACAUGCAAGUCGAACGGUAACAGGUCUUCGGAUGCUGACGAGUGGCGAACGGGUGAGUAAUACAUCGGAACGUGCCCGAGAGUGGGGGAUAACGAGGCGAAAGCUUUGCUAAUACCGCAUACGAUCUCAGGAUGAAAGCAGGGGACCGCAAGGCCUUGCGCUCACGGAGCGGCCGAUGGCAGAUUAGGUAGUUGGGGGGAUAAAAGCUUACCAAGCCGAAGAUCUGUAGCUGGUCUGAGAGGACGACCAGCCACACUGGGACUGAGACACGGCCCAGACUCCUACGGGAGGCAGCAGUGGGGAAUUUUGGACAAUGGGCGCAAGCCUGAUCCAGCCAUGCCGCGUGCAGGAUGAAGGCCUUCGGGUUGUAAACUGCUUUUGUACGGAACGAAAAGACUCUGGUUAAUACCUGGGGUCCAUGACGGUACCGUAAGAAUAAGCACCGGCUAACUACGUGCCAGCCGCCGCCGUAAAAC
rnacentral:rRNA from 1 species